AUUGAACGCUGGCGGCAUGCUUUACACAUGCAAGUCGAACGGUAACAGGCCGCAAGGUGCUGACGAGUGGCGAACGGGUGAGUAAUGCAUCGGAACGUGCCCAGUCGUGGGGGAUAACGCAGCGAAAGCUGCGCUAAUACCGCAUACGAUCUAUGGAUGAAAGCGGGGGACCGUAAGGCCUCGCGCGAUUGGAGCGGCCGAUGUCAGAUUAGGUAGUUGGUGGGGUAAAGGCUCACCAAGCCGGCGAUCUGUAGCUGGUCUGAGAGGACGACCAGCAACACGGGGUCUGAGCCACGGCCCAGACUCCUACGGGAGGCAGCAGUGGGGAAUUUUGGACAAUGGGGGCAACCCUGAUCCAGCAAUGCCGCGUGCAGGAAGAAGGCCUUCGGGUUGUAAACUGCUUUUGGACGGAACGAAACGGCUCUGGUUAAUACCUGGGGCUAAUGACGGUACCGUAAGAAUAAGCACCGGCUAACUACGUGCCAGCCGCCGCCGUAAUAC
rnacentral:rRNA from 1 species